rnacentral:rRNA from 1 species
GACGAACGCUGGCGGCGUGCUUAACACAUGCAAGUCGAACGGAAAGGCUCCAGCUUGCUGGAGUACUCGAGUGGCGAACGGGUGAGUAACACGUGGGUGAUCUGCCCUGCACUUCGGGAUAAGCCUGGGAAACUGGGUCUAAUACCGGAUAGGACCGCACUUUGGUUUGUGUUGUGGAAAGGUUUUUCUGGUGUGGGAUGAGCUCGCGGCCUCUCAGUUUUUUGGUGGGGUAAUGGCCUAACAAGACGGCGACGGGUAGCCGGGCUGGGAGGGUGGAAGGUCACAUUGGGAAUGAGAUACGGGCCAGAAUCCUACGGGAGGCAGGAGUUGGGAAUAUUGCAAAAAGGGGGGAACCCUGAUGGAGGGACGCCGGGUGGGGGAUGAAGGCCUUCGGGUUGUAAAACCCUUUCGCUAGGGAAGAAGCUUUUUGUGACGGUACCUGGAGAAGAAGCACCGGCUAACUACGUG